rnacentral:lncRNA from 1 species
GGAGUCCUUGGCAGGUGGGGAGACUUGAGAUCAAUGAAAAGGAAGUGAAAUAGUUUUUACUCUGAGCAGUCAGUGCCUUUAAAAAAAUCAGAACAAAGAGAAAAUAAGAUGCAUUAUAGUGCAACUUUGACAUUUUUUGCUAAUGAAGCUUUUAGUUUCCAUAAUGUUGAGUGGAGGUCAGAAAAUCUGCCAAGCCUCUUUUGCUUUUGUGUUUGCUCUGUCUCCAAAUGAGGACAGAAACGAGUUGCCACAGAAUCUAGAGAGCUUUAUCUUUGAAUCCUUUCUUUUUGUCUUUUUUUUUAAACCUUUCACAGAAGUCAAAAGGCACAUUAAUUUUAUAUUCUGAUAGUUCUUUGAGUUUGAUUUAGACCAUACACUCUGAGGAUCACACGUGGCUUCUGAGUGCUAGCUCACAUUUGAAGGUCAUUAAUAUGCUUAGGCUCAUUACUCGAAUCCUUUGGCAUCCCUCCUAACUUGUUUUGUUUUACAGUUUAAUUGCUAUGGAGAUGAGAUAGAAAGCUGAUAUCAAAAAAUAAUUAUUGUGCCUACACAACUUGCAUUUCCUACUUUGCCUUACUGUGUUCCAGUGAACUGUCUUCGUCAUCAUGUAAAAAUUUAAUAUGAUGCCUCUCUGCCUUUAUUUUCUUCUUUCCCAAACCUUUGUGGGGGGAGGAGCCUGGAAGCUGGGACAGGUGUGGGAACUGCAGCUCCCUCCCAGCCGUCCUGAGAUUGCCCCUUUUCUGGUUCUCACCUCAGCCAACCAGGGCAGAACAGGAUGCUGAGACAUCACAGAGCUGGAGGGGCAGAGGGAGGCAAAGACAACAUUGAAAACAUCACAUGUUAUGGUUUACUGAGCUAUACAGCAAAACACACAGGGUACGCCUUGGCCGGUAAGUAUAUUGAAGACUAGUGUAGAGUGGAGUGUUGGUAGGUUUAUGUUUGAGUGAAAUGAAUGUAUCUCAUAAAAUCUUUGGAAGACACUCGACCAACUGUGGCCAGGCAGAAUUUUUUGAGAAAAAAAUGAUGAAGAC